UCAAUGCCCACCUAGGGAAUGACCGGGA
rnacentral:sRNA from 1 species